rnacentral:rRNA from 1 species
CCUACGGGAGGCAGCAGUAGGGAAUAUUGCUCAAUGGGGGAAACCCUGAAGCAGCAACGCCGCGUGGAGGAUGAAGGUUUUCGGAUUGUAAACUCCUUUUGUUAGAGAAGAUAAUGACGGUAUCUAACGAAUAAGCACCGGCUAACUCCGUGCCAGCAGCCGCGGUAAUACGGAGGGUGCAAGCGUUACUCGGAAUCACUGGGCGUAAAGAGCGCGUAGGCGGGAUAGCAAGUCAGAUGUGAAAUCCUAUGGCUUAACCAUAGAACUGCAUUUGAAACUGUUAUUCUAGAGUAUGGGAGAGGUAGGUGGAAUGCGUGGUGUAGGGGUAAAAUCCGUAGAGAUCAAGAAGAAUACUCAUUGCGAAGGCGACCUGCUGGAGCAUAACUGACGCUGAUGCGCGAAAGCGUGGGGAGCAAACAGGAUUAGAUACCCUUGUAGUC